CUGGCGGUAUGCUUACACAUGCAAGUCGAGCGAGAAAGUGGCUUCGGCCCGAGUACAGCGGCGGACGGGUGAGUAACACGUGGAUAAUCUGCCUUUGGGUCCGGGACAACCCAGGGAAACUUGGGCUAAUACCGGAUAAGACCACAGGUUCUACGGAACCAGGGGUAAAAGGCGGCCUUCGGGCUGUCACCUGAAGAUGAGUCCGCGUCCCAUCAGGUUGUUGGUGAGGUAACGGCUCACCAAGCCUAAGACGGGUAGCCGACCUUAGCGGGUGAUCGGCCACAUGGGGACUGAGACACGGCCCCGACUCCUACGGGAGGCAGCAGUGGGGAAUCUUGGGCAAUGGGCGCAAGCCUGACCCAGCAAUACCGCGUGAGGGAUGAAGGUCUUCGGGUCGUAAACCUCUGUCAGUAGGAACGAUGGGUCUCAAGGUUAAUACCCUUGAGACUUGACGGUACCUACAAAGGAAGCCCCGGCUAACUCCGUGCCAGCAGCCGCGGUAAUACGGAGGGGGUU
rnacentral:rRNA from 1 species